GGACUACAGGGGUUUCUAAUCCUGUUUGCUACCCACGCUUUCGUGUCACAGUGUCAGUUCAGGCCCAGGUGAUUGCCUUCGCCAUCGAUGUUCCUCCCGAUAUCUACGCAUUUCACCGCUACACCGGGAAUUCCGUCACCCUCUACCGAACUCGAGCUGCCCAGUAUCGACUGCAAUUCCCAGGUUGAGCCCAGGGAUUUCACAAUCGACUUAGGUAGCCACCUACACACGCUUUACGCCCAGUAAAUCCGAUUAACGCUCGCACCCUCUGUAUUACCGCGGCUGCUGGCAC
rnacentral:rRNA from 2 species